CUGGAUGGCAGCCUGCCACCUGACAGCCGCCUGGAGAACAACAUGCUGAUGCUGCCCUCAGUCCGACCCCAGGACGCAGGUACCUACGUCUGCACCGCCACUAACCGCCAGGGCAAGGUCAAAGCCUUUGCCCACCUGCAGGUGCCAGAGCGGGUGGUGCCCUACUUCACGCAGACCCCCUACUCCUUCCUACCGCUGCCCACCAUCAAGGAUGCCUACAGGAAGUUCGAGAUCAAGAUCACCUUCCGGCCCGACUCAGCCGAUGGUGAGCAGGAGGGUUAAUUUGCGGGGUGGGCUGGCCUGGGUUGAGGGACCUCGUGGAGUAACUGCCAUCAUGGCAGGAGCCCUGGCUGCCCCUCAGUCCUGCCCCAAUCCCUCAGCCCUCCCUCUCCAGAAGCCCCCAGACCUCUGGGCCUC
rnacentral:lncRNA from 1 species